UACGUAGGGUGCGAGCGUUAAUCGGAAUUACUGGGCGUAAAGCGCGUGUAGGCUGCUCUGCAAGUCGGAUGUGAAAGCCCUGGGCUCAACCUAGGAAGUGCACUCGAAACUGCAGAGCUUGAGUCCUGGAGAGGAAGGCGGAAUUCUCGGUGUAGAGGUGAAAUUCGUAGAUAUCGAGAGGAACACCGGUGGCGAAGGCGGCCGUCUGGACAGUGACUGACGCUGAGACGCGAAAGCGUGGGGAGCAAACAGG
rnacentral:rRNA from 1 species